AUUGAACGCUGGCGGCAGGCCUAACACAUGCAAGUCGAGCGGAUGAAGGGAGCUUGCUCCUGGAUUCAGCGGCGGACGGGUGAGUAAUGCCUAUGAAUCUGCCUGGUAUUGGGGGAUAACGUCCGGAAACGGGCGCUAAUACCGCAUACGUCCUGAGGUAGAAAGUGGGGGAUCUUCGGACCUCACGCUAUCAGAUGAGCCUAGGUCGGAUUAGCUAGUUGGUGGGGUAAAGGCCUACCAAGGCGACGAUCCGUAACUGGUCUGAGAGGAUGAUCAGUCACACUGGAACUGAGACACGGUCCAGACUCCUACGGGAGGCAGCAGUGGGGAAUAUUGGACAAUGGGCGAAAGCCUGAUACAGCCAUGCCGCGUGUGUGAAGAAGGUCUUCGGAUUGUAAAGCACUUUAAGUUGGGAGGAAGGGCAGUAAGUUAAUACCUUGCUGUUUUGACGUUACCAACAGAAUAAGCACCGGCUAACUUCGUG
rnacentral:rRNA from 1 species